ACACAAUUCUCAAAUGCUGUUAGGCUUUGACUGGUUCCCCUCUCUCUCAACCCUAUGCAUAGUGGAACAGGGAGAUCUUUGCAAAAGUAUCCAGUGCAUCUGCAAAAGUAUAAAAGAUAUGUGAUUUUUGUUUCAUUUACAUACUAGAUUCUCUUUCUUAUUCUGUAUCCAAAAAAAAUUGUUUAUCUAGGUAAGAAUGGGAACACAAAACGAUAGCCAAGCCAUCUUAAUGGGAGCAUCAAUCAAAACAGUGUGAUAUUGUCUGUGGAUACACGAUGCUGUGGAUGAGUAUGAACAGAGAAAGGCAGGCUCAUUUCAGUUUCUGUGAAAAGCUUAGCAAAAGGUGUUUUCUUGAGGGUAGAACCUUUGUCAUACUGUGUUCAUGUCCACAUAUGUGGCACCUGGCUGUGGAUUUGAACAGGUUCUUCUCUUCCUUUCUCCUGUGAAGAACAAUUUAAAUCAACCUAAAUCAGACUAUUUCAACACAUCUUUCCCUCUUCUUACACAAAGCAUCCUAUUUUCAUAUCAUUUAAUUCUGAGGUGCAUGCUCUGGCAAUUGCUCUUCCAAUGUUUAAAUCUCAUUGCACAGCAAGGCACUGUUUGUUGGUCACUUUGGAGUGUUUGAAGAUUACGGCUAAAAAAAACACAAUUUUCUAUGUUAUGUGGCUGAAAAGAAAAGCGUCCUUAUCUUUCUGGGAAAUUCAUUUUCUUAGACAAAGCAUCCAACAGAGGGAUAAAGGUACAGAGUUGCUUGACAGGCAGUGAGGUUGGUGAAAUCACACAAAGCAAUCAGUGAAUGGAAACAUGAUCCAGCCCAAUAAUCCAGUUUCCCGUAUUCAUAAAGAUUGUUAGAAGAGAUUGUCUAUCCUAGAGAAGGUGGGCUAAUUGAAGUGAGUUGAACUAGUUAUUUCUAUAUAAAGCUAUUGUUUCUUAAAUUCCUGACCUGGCUGUUGCAGAUGGUUUUGGGGAGUUCUUUAGUUCUUUCAUUUCUUACUUUAUCUUGUACCUGAAUAAAACAGCCUGCGUAUGAAUUCUUUGUAGUACUUUGUGCUGCAGGGUUUCAAAAAGCCAUAAUGAAGCACAUUGCUACUAAAAUUCUCUUCACAUAUCAUCUUUUGAGUUAUUAUGUUAAAAAAGCUCUCAGUAGCCUAUAGUCAAAAUUAUUAAAAUCCUCUCCAUUGUAGAGGUUAAGAAAGUGAUAAUUAAGACUCUCUGGUAGACCCCUAAAUGAUAAACAGCAUUUUACAACAAAUAGGAGGUCAAUGUAUAUUUUAGAGAGUUAACAUUGACCAUAUUGAGUUUACCUAGGCCCUCCAGGCUAUAUUUUAUAAUCAACUCCCACUCCCAAAUAACAACAAGAAAUUUUUUCUUAUGUAUAUGUGUUUUUAUGAUGAAACCAUUGGUUUUAUGUACAACUCCUACUGCUUGAUUAAUACGAUUUAUUUCAUUCAACUUGAUAGAUUAUAUUAACAAGGGAUGGAGCAGGGGAUUGUGUAUAGUGCCUGGGCAAUAAAUCUAGGAACUAUUUAAGUUCUAUACCCCAUGAUUAGUAACAUUUACCAAUGACGCUUAGCUUGCUAUGUAAAACACUAUAGCAUUUUACUUUCAUUUGCACACGGGUAAAAUGUACAAGAAAUCAUAGAACUAUAGAGAUGGAGGGAAAGCCUCUCAUCUACCCUCUCUGAAGUUUCACUGAAAUGAAUGACAAUUGACAGAUUAAGAGGAGAAAGGGUAUACAAAUUUAUUAACAUUCAUAAGCAUAGAAACUAUAUAAAAUAUGAGACUCAGAGCAAAGCUAGAUGGUUGAGGCUUAUAUGCCCUCUUCAUGAGGGAGAGGAAGAUGGCAGAAAUAUAGCCAAUUUGAAGGAUUGUAAAUAAUUUUAGGGGAACUUAAAUAGCCCAAAGAACAGACAGUUGGCUUGGGACAAGUUUCCUCUGAGCUCUGGGGGAGAUGGUGGCAAACUGCAAGAAGGUGUGGGGCGGAACUUCACCGUGAGCAAGGUUGUCUUAUAAUGCCGAUAAUCUUCCAAGUAAUCUCUAGGAGCUACGCUCAGGAUAAUAAAUGAAAGGUCGUCUGGGUGUACUGACGAUUUUUAGUGAUUAGUCUUUUCUGGUUAUUAGAUGAAGUUCCUAAGAAGGGACUAUUAAGACAAUUGCAUUUCUAAUGUUGGAACUUUCCUUCAUUAGAUAAGGAAAUUUCCUCUUAGUGCUCAGGAAAGAAAGAGGAUCAGAGGGGCAGGAGUGCAGGAGAAGGUUAGAGAGAGACCUUAGUUCUGAGACUUAUUUUUGAGGCCUUUCAACUUCCUUUAAUUCAAAGCAAGAAGAAUGCCAAAGUGUCAUAUUUUGGAAUAUUAUUUUCUGAGCCCCAACAAAGCUUAAAUAAGAAGAAUACAACAAAUCAGGUACAGAAAUUAUUAAGAUAAUCACACAGUUCCAGGCUUCCUCCUCAUUCUGCCUGCUCAAAGAGUUAUGGCUUUGUCUGGUCCUAUUUCCUAUUGUUUCCUACCUUUCACAGAAAAAGUUGUCAGUAUUUUAAACUCUUGUGAGCUAGAAUUUGAAGAAGCUGGGGGGUAUGGAGGAGCAAUACAAAGACAAAAAUUCCUGAGGGCAGGAUUGAGAAAUGCCCUCAAAUUCCACCUUUCCUGGUUUAGAUUCCAUGAUCCAUCACCCUUCGUUCCUUAAAAUCUCUCCAUGGUACUGGUUUGACCAAACUCAACUGUAAUGAAUCCAAUCUGUGCACAUACUCCCUAAAAUGCACCUCUCCAGAAUCCUCCAAUAGAAUCAAAGAUUCUAUUCCUCAGAUUUAUUGGAGCUCCCUCCUUUCCGACCUUUAAAUGUUGGCAUGCCCAGGGUUUAUUCUUCCACGUGGCAUCUCCAGGUAAUCUCCUCAGGUUUUACAGUUCCUUAACAUGUGAUUCACACUGAUAACCCAGAUGACUUCAUGAUGUCUUAGCUCCAGACUAAAAAAUCCACCAUGCUCCUGUAAAAUACAGCUUUAUCAUGUUCGGCACCCUUUUGUUUUAGAAGAGAUUGUCUCCUUGGAAGACCUGUUUGGAAGAUUCAGUCAAGGAUUCUUGGAAAUGUUGUUUGCAUUCUGGCUGACCUGAAAGAAUAAUUAUAAUAAAUCA
rnacentral:lncRNA from 1 species